CAGGAUGUGUGGAAAUACUUAUCUACAAGGAUGUUCAUCCCAGUGUUAUUUAUAAUGGCAAAAAAAGAAGGUUUCUGGAACUAGAUCUUCCUCCCUCAGAUAUUCUUUAUGUUAAUGAAUUGUCUUCUGUAGAAAUGCAAAGAUCUUUUGGAAGGGCUGUACACAGGUCUAAGAUUGUAGCUAAGAUAUUGCUACCCAGAGAGAUUUUGGAAGACAAGUGUUGAAAAAGCUGCCAUCAGCCUGAGUCCAGGAUGACUGUGCACAGAAGGGUUGCCCAUCAACUUAGAACAUUCACUUCAAAUUGUCACGUGCGUGAGACAUACACUUUUUAUUCUGCAAGCUGUCUGGAAACGUCAUUUGUUACAGUGACUCAGUAUAUCCUUCACUAAUAAAACAUCUCAUGCAGAAGGGUUGCAAGGAUUAAAUGAAAUUCCAAUGGCUAAAGUUUGUGCACAGCUAACUCUGGGCCAGGGUCUUGCUAAAAGCUU
rnacentral:lncRNA from 10 species